rnacentral:rRNA from 1 species
UACGUAGGGCGCAAGCGUUAUCCGGAAUUAUUGGGCGUAAAGAGCUCGUAGGCGGUUUGUCGCGUCUGCCGUGAAAGUCCGGGGCUCAACUCCGGAUCUGCGGUGGGUACGGGCAGACUAGAGUGCAGUAGGGGAGACUGGGAUUCCUGGUGUAGCGGUGAAAUGCGCAGAUAUCAGGAGGAACACCGAUGGCGAAGGCAGGUCUCUGGGCUGUAACUGACGCUGAGGAGCGAAAGCAUGGGGAGCGAACAGG